CUGUGGCGCAAAUAUGUAUUUUUCUACACCCUUUCUUUUUUUUUUAAGUACGUGCAUGACUGCAGUGUUAAAAUUGUUUUACUACUGUACUCCUGAACGCACUCCACAGUUUUAUUGCACACACUCGUUCGUACCAAGAUUUAAUUAGUAAAUGCAUCCUGCAGCUACCAGAGUGAUGACACAACACGUCCACACACAACUGUGACCAUGCAAAAUCGAAAGUGUAGAUAUUACGAUCAGCUAUACAUAGUAGACGAUGAUUGAACAAUAUGGAGAGAGGUGACAGUAUUUGGCUGGCUGCGUCAAGUAAAAGGGGGGCCUGCAUCUGAUAUGGAAGAUGGUGGGAGGAUGGAGAUCAAACAGCUUCUCCUUGUCCUGCCAUCUGCUCCUGUCAGAAGGAAUACACAUGCUUUUCAUUUGGAGAGGAUGGCUGUAUCUUGGCCCUGGAAAUGGUCAUGCAUAUUCAAUCACUGGCUUGACACUGAAAAGACAUUUAAAGGCCAUAGUACAUGAGAUAUGACCAGGUUUCCCCGCGUAGCAUCAAAUUGCAUUUAGAUGAAUGCACAUUAUACUGUGUAGAAUUAAAAUAGGAGAGCCUGGGGUCAAUCUACGUGAAUCCAUCUUCAUCACUAUUCGUAGAGGAGAUAGAUGAAGUGGAGAACUGCAGAUCAAUGGGCUACCUCGACCUCUUUCCAGUCUCAUCUCCACGUAAAUCUGUAUGCACUGUACUGUACCUUUCUUACCUAUCCCAAGGAUUUUAUGAUUUUUAUGGAUGUUAGAUUUGGGUGCAGCUAUUUAUAUUAUGCUAGUAUUCUUCCAAUUACAAUUUGGUGAGAAUCCACAAAUUAAUGGUUUGGUAAAAGAAAUGAGAAAAUUAGAAAGACCUUUCUGCAUGACUAAUUUAUAACCGCAAUAAUAAACAUAAUCUUAAAUAAAUACUGCACAGUCAAAUAAAUACUGCUCAGAGACUGUCAAGCCAAAUUGUGCAAUUAUCUUUUUUAACACAGCUCUUGUUUUAGAUUUCAUUAGAUUCAAGUGGUCAUAAUCUGGCAGGGGGUACAACAGUUCGUUCAGCUUUUUCAUUUGAGAGGAGAAUCCUUACAUUGAUUAUUUUAUUCACACAAAAAAACUGUCAAAUAAAAUUCUGCAAAGUCUCAUUAAGAGUGGAUAGAAUUUCAUCCGUCCAUCCAUUUUCUACACGUCUUAUUCUGACCAUGGUGGCAGAGAUGCUGAGCCUUCUGGGUAUUUUUGGGGGGGUUGGGGUUGAUAGGCCCUAACAUUAGAAAAUCAAGAGCAUUUCUUCCCCCAAAAAUUAUAUUUUUAUUAUGUCCGUUUGUAAUUUAUUGUGAUGAUAUACUGUAGGUUCUAAUUUCCUUUAGGAUGAGAAUAUCCAAGCCUCAAUUGGCAUGGGUCGUUCUUGUUUUUAUAAUAUUUAAUUGCCAUAUGAUCCUCUGAAGAAGAUCUGCUAUUUUUGCUUUUCGGUUGCAGUGUGUAUAUGUGUGGUGCGGUGACGAUGGUUGAGUCACGAUGUCCUCGCCUGGUAUGAUGUUCAUGUCAAAAAAUGAAGAUUGAAUGAAGCCCGCCGCCCCGUCCGUCCCCACCUCUCGGAGAGGCUUUUUUUUUUUCAAACGUUUAUUUAUUAGCCAUUUUCGACAGUGAGCCUGUUACAGUGGGGUGACGUGCCUCCUUUCAUUCUUAAAUAAUUUCACAUGUCUAAGAGCCUUAGAGGGAUUACCGCGGCGCUGAGGACGAUGAGGAGGAGCGCACAUACACAGACUUGCCCAUGAAGGUUUAUAUGCUGAAGAUUACACUGCGAGAGGGCUGGCUAGCUGGAUUACCCCGCGUAUUAGUCGUAAUAGAAGUGUCAGUUUGCCUUGAUUUACUCAGUGUGCGGCUGAGAUGUGUGAAUGGGGAAAAUAUGCUGCAAUCCCCCUUUUGUGGCGUGGCAUUUUCAUUUAUUAUUGCACUGAGAUCUGAAAAAUAACUCCCAACGUCUACUGGGAGAGUCUCUCGACGAAGUUCAUCAUUGUCUUGUUGCAGACGCUCCUUGGCUCGCCGGUCAUAUAAAUAAUGUUCAGUUAUGGCUCUAAUUAGCUGUCACGGCAGCCUUUCACACUGUGAGCGGUGCUCUUCCCGACAUGCAAGGUCAUCCCCGAGAAGAUGACAAACAUGAUCACCUUCACGGGCUGUUUGUGAACUUGUGAAAGAACCAUCUCGUUCAACAUGGAUGGAGAAGGGAAGGAGCUGUCAAUGUCAAUAUGACAGCCUUCACACAGGGUCAUUGAAGCGUGUGAUGAACGGGACUGAUGUACUGUUGUUUUGUCUUCUUUUGCGAUGAUGUGGAUGUACAUGAAAGGGUUUCUCUCUUCUAGAACAGUAAUUCUCAAAGUGUGGUACGAAUACCAUUUGGAGUACUCGAGUUCACUCUACUGGUACGUGAAGGAAUCCCUGCACAAGUACAUACAGUUCAUUUGGAUAUAACUUUUCAGUAACUGUAUACGAGGGAUGUAACGAUACGGGCAAUAUGAUGACGUCGUCACGUCACGAUAUUAAAAGUAUCUAUUCAAUGGGCUAGAUUGUUUUCUAUUUGUACAGUUUCAGCACGUUCAGUACUGGUGAAUAGAUCGAUCGAUCUCUCGUGAGAGAGAGAGAUCCAUCCAUCCAUUUUAUGAUUCGCUUUAUCCUCACAAGGGUCGUGGGGCUUGCUGGAGCCGAUCCCAGCCGUCUUCGGGUAGUAGACGGGAGACAACCUGAACUGGUUGCUCGCCAAUCGCUGGGCACACAGAGACAAACGACCAUCUGCACUCACACUCGCACUGAGGGAUAUGUUUUUUGGAAUGUGGGAGGAAACCGGAGCACCCGGAGAAAACCCACGCAGGCACGGGGAAAACAUGCAAACUCCACACAGGAAGGUCGGAGCUGGAAUCGAACCGGGUACCUCUGCACUGUGAGGUCGAUGCGUUAACCACUCGCUCACUGGGCCGCCAUUUCUGCGCAAUCAACCAAACUUAAUGAAGCUCUGCCAGUGCAUGAAGUAUGUUUCAAAGCAUGGUUGGGUUGUGUGGAAUUUCUUGGCCUCAACAAAUCGAGCUAUAUAUCCAAUGCUAUAGUAUUCUUCAGUUAAAUUUUCUGUUGGUGCAAUGGUCAGGUUGAGCGUUAGACAGCUGGAGCAUAAGUCAAAGCAUCCAUGGAAUCAAAGCUGGAACAGAGCGCGAUGUACCAAAAGAGAAGAGAAGAGCAAUGGGGAGAACAUUUGAGACUGGCGCGAGAUGAAAUAAAAAUGAGUGAGUCACAAAGUCUCUGUGCAGUCACCGAGCAGCCCCCACCACCUCCAUCCUCAUCAGCACGAGCAGAAAAUGUCGGGCUUUACUCGGGGAAUACACAUACGUACACACUCAAGUACCGCCCACGUCAUCUGCCUUUCGGUGCAAUAACAUGAGAGGAUUUGGGGGGGGAUGCACAAGCAGAUUUUUUUCUCUUACUCUGUCUCACACAUGGCCCUAUCCCGUCACUUAAUUAAUUUUGGAGCCAGGAGUAAUCAGGUUCCACUAAUGGAUUCCUGUGUGCUUAGUAGCUCUACUACUGUAUAUCCGAGUGCCAUCAAAAGCACCAUGUUAUUGUAUCACAUCUCUUACCUCCUGUUCUCUGCAUUUUGCUUCGCCUUAAGCUUUGGAGACGCAAGCAUACAAAUGUAUCUAGGUUUGGCUUCAUCUUGCGAGGUCGGACUAAAGACGCAACAGCACGAGAAAGGAUUAUUGUUGAUGUGGAGCACAGCAGCCCUGUUGCAAUCUCCCUGCAUGGACCAUGUAUCGUUUCUUGUAAUGCCUCGUGAUAGGCUGGCAACCAGUCCAGGGUGUACACAGCCUCUUGGGUUACGGUUUUUGGGUUCUUGUUUUUCUCCCCGGAAGUACAAUUUUAUUUGGUUGUGUACCAUACAUUUUGGAACGAGUUUCCCCUGCAAAUCAGAGUGUCUUCCUUUUGUCUGUAUGUUUUAACUCCUUUUUUAUUUCCUUCAUUUUGAUCAGUUUUAUUUAGUUAUCUUAUCGAUCCAUUUUCCCUACGACUAAGUCAGUUCAGGGUCACGGGGAACUGGAGCUUCUCCCAGCGAAAGCAGGCACAAUUGAAAUUGAACAUUUUUAGUCAAGUUCCGUGGUUUGAAACAAGCAUUGUUGUCUUCCCUUAUACGUCUCCUCCACCAAACAACAGUUUGAUUGGCUCAGGAUGGUCACAUGAUCACAACAGCGCUUUACAGUCUGACCUGACUGGGAGAGGAGAAAAAGGCACAUGACGGCGAACAUCGAGUAUUUUAUCUUAAUUCGACAGCCGUCAACCGUGAUUCUGCAUCCGAUCAUGACCCGGUUCGAAGAUAGCCGCACAAUCUGAAUACCUCUCUGACGGUGUGUCAAUCAUAACUGAGUAUUAUUGUCUUUAUAAAGACAGAAUAUGUCCGUGGAUUUUCCAACCCGGUUUCAGAUGUUUGUUUGAGUGAGACUCAAGACGAGCCAUCCUAAUCUCAUCCAGCCCUGGAGAAUUUGCAGGGCAAAGUUAUCAGUCUUCGCACCCUGCAAAGCUUCCUCGGGUUUCCGCGGAGCAGUUCAAUUCAAGGGCGAAGCGCGACGUUUGGUCGUGCAGCAGCCAGUUGGAGGUUUUAACGGAGGGCCCUUUGAAAACAUCUGCAGUUCAGUGAUAACACUUGUCCUCCAUGUACAAAAAAAGGGGUGGGGACGCAGUUAAAUAGAUGGAGGGCCGACUAGUGAGAGAAAGCUUUUGCCUUGGCACUGUGGAGGAUUUGAGAGAUGAAGGAAGAGAGAGAGCGAGAGACAGACAGAGUGCAAGUGGAGGAGAAUGUUAUGUGGGUUGCAGGGUGGAGUGCAUGUUAAUGGAGACCAGCCCUAUUUCAGAUCCAGCAGCUGGAGGAGCAAAGAGAUCCAUCUUUGUUAUGAGCGUGUAUUCAUAGGUGGCCAUGAAAUGAGAUCAGGAGGGGGAGACGUAGAAAAGAAAAAGGUUCCAUCCGAUGCUGCAGGGUUUUGGGAACGUGUAAUUGGCGGGUUGGACAGUGCUUGCUUAUUCUUCUUCCAGUUGUUUAAAAAAAAAAAAGACAAGCGUCCGUUUAGCGUCGUAUACGCCACAGCGACUGCUGUAUAAAGAUGGGCCGCAGAAGAGGCUGCAUCAAUUAUUGAAGGCCGUGGAGAGGACUAAGCGUCUGCUUGUCACGCACUCUUUCAGCGGGUCCCUCACUCCUCACGCUUCCUCGCUCGCUACGUCCCCUUCUCAGCCAUCCUCCUGCCCCUCUCCUCCACACACAGCAGAAAAUCCCCUCGUCUGUCUCCUCCCUCCCCGGCUCAUCUAAUCUCACCUCUCUUCCCCCUUUGCCUCAUCCGCCUCAUCCGAGAGCCGCUGGCUGCCCCUCCCCUACGCAUGGACCGUGACAUCGUUGCUCUGUCUCAUUCUUUGAUUUGGCCUGAAUUAAUCAACCAGUUAACUCUGAAUAGGUUAGGGUUUUGGCUGCGUCUAUAUGUUUGUUGACAGCUGCGGUGUCCAAACAUUUUUAUUUCAGGGCUGCAUAAAGAAAAUCGGAAGGAUGAAAAGACUGCUUGAACUUCUUUUACUUUAAUUCAUGAAACAUGCUGAAGUUAAACAAAAAAAAAAGAGCAGGCAAUGACUAUCUAAUUUAUAUUUUGUAGUUAUUUUGAAAAACUGCAACAUAACAGCUUUCUGUUAAAGGUGAUAUGGCAAAAAUAGUUGAGGGUUUUCAAGAUUUUGGAGUGGCCUCUACAAUACUAGAUCCAAACCUGCACUGAAAAACAGCUGACUACCGUCUCCACAUUUAGAAACAAAAUAAGAGGAAAUGCUGACCAUUUUUCAAACUGGUUUACUUGAGCCGUUUUCCUGGAUUUGGACUGAUUUGCAAGGCCCACAGAUUAUUGUGUUCUAUUGCAACAAAACAUGCAGCCUACCAAAAGACAGAGGGGACUCUCUUCUUUCAGCUGUAAAAAAAAAAAAGUAUUUUUCCCUUCUUCAGCAAUCAGGAUUAGAAAAUAGCUAAAGUUCAUACGACUUCUCUUUUCCGAGGAAAAAAGACCUUUUUGUAAAGACGUGCAUUUCAAGCAAAUUUCAAGUAUGGCACCAUAAUAUUUUGCUAUUGUGCCAUGUCAAACAUCUAAAUAAGACAACAUACAACAGCAUAAACAACACCACAAAAGACAGUUAUUCAUACAGUUGAUUAAUGAUAGUAUUUACCACACCCUCUCUUCUCACUCUGCCCGAUUCCAACCUUUUUUUUUUCCUAAACUAGCCUUGUGGGCUUUUUCAAAUGUCAUUUGUAGUAUAUGCUGCAGACCACCAAUGGAUGGCAGGGCACAAAUAGCCCACGGGCCAUAGUUUGGAUCGACGCGGUCUAAAGCAUGUAAUUUCUUUUUUCUUAUCAGUAUAACUUGUGCACAGAUAUGGGGGGGAAAGGGUUUGUUGCUGGGGCAUUAGGCAAAGUAUUAACAUCAUGACCCAAUUCCCAAAUUCUGGUGCUCAUCCAAAUCGGGAUUGUCAGCAUUUCAAUAUGCCACGGGAUCCACUGGUUGCCCAAAUCAGCUCAAUUUGAUAAUAUACGAGUGAGUUCAGUCACUAUUUUGAUUAUAAAAAAAGGGAAACAAAUGGCUUGUUGAGCAUUUUAAUUGUUUUUUUUUCAGCAUAUGGAAAGCAAUUACUUUUUCGUGGUGCUUUUCGGUGGAAAUUCCGUUAUUUUCAGAGAACUGGAAUAAAAAUGUCUUUGUCUCUCUUGAGACUCAAUGUUCCCACAGUAUUUGACUCUGUGGCCAGUGAGACAGAGCCUCUAGCAUUUGACCCAAUGUGUUUUUCACACACUUUGCACAGAUAGAACACGGUGUCCAAAGUCAGAAUUUGAACCUUUUUCUGUACAUCAGCGGUCCUCAACCACUGCAAGUCAGCCCGGCCACAACCCCCCUUGGGCAAGCAAGGGAACAAAGAUUUAUACAGCCCAUCUGCCUUUGGAGGGUGUGCAUAUACCCUGCGGUCCCCAGUUAAUCAUAUGACGAACACGCUCAAAACGAUUCACACUCACAUAAGGUUCUGCAUUUUCAUGGCCAGUGCAAGUCGAGUCAAGUCUCAUUCCACGUGGAGCUCUGUUAGACCGAGUGUUGGUAUUUUUGCAGAUGCGCACAAGCCGGCGCUAGAGGGCACAUUUAAAAAUGAUUCAAAGGCCAAAAGUUGUGGCAGCCAGCUUGGUUCUGGGCCAACUCCUCAUUCCUUUUAAAUGCACUAUAUGAUUUAUUUGGAGGGGCAUCGCAUAUUAAUCAUUAAAAUACAGUCAGUCGAUGCCAGAGUCACGCAGGAUUAAUCAUUUUAGGUGGGCCUCACUAUUCCAAAAAUUUUGCAGGGUCUGUGUUGCUCAAAACCUCCUAAAUUCUAAAAUCGAAUGAUGAUAAGGUUGCGUUAUUAUUGAUGUUUUAAUUCAGCUCUGAGUAGUGCGCAUCCUUUCAAUGGGACCAAGCAGAGAAUGAGUCAUUUAAAUGGCAUGUAAACAAGCAGCAGGUAGCGAGGUGGAACGCAAAACCAACCAUUAGGCGGGUGAUCAUUGACGUGCUGAGGCGAGAAGGUCCAAUCAAAAAACAUAUGCGGACUCCAUCAUGAAAGCAAACAGAGAGGAGAGACGAGGCAAGAGGGAAACUGAGUGACAUGCAGGAAAGUCUGCAGGGAACCAGUUGCUACGGUAACAGGGAAGGUAGGCUGCUCCUGGGGGUGGUGUUACCAUGGAAACCAACCUCGGUGGCCAAGUGAUGCUGAGUAGGGGAACAUGAAGUAGUGGGCUAAAAAUGAGUUGGGUGUUCAUGGGCAAGUGAGCGGGAGCUAAUGUGAAACGUGAGCACCCGCUGCAUCACGUUUGUCUUCCGCUUGACCCUCAUCUACUCUGUAAACAUGUCGGCAGCCAAGUCAGGAAAUAAUAAUAAAAAUAAUACAUUGAAUUUGCAAACGCCUUUCACAACACUUUACAACCAAGAGCAAAUAAUAAAACCACAGAUAAAAUUAGAGACAAAGAAAGAAAGAUUUAAGGUGGAUACGCAAGUCUGAAUAGGUGGGUUUUGAAUAUGGAAAGAGAGUCAAUAUUACGACUGUUGGGUGAAAGCGAGUUCCAAAGUUGGGGGCAGAGCGACUGAGGGCUCUGGACCCCAUUGUACUGAGGCGAGCAGAGGGUAGAGAAAGGUGGAGGGAGGAUGAGGACCUGAGUGAACGAUAGGGAAUGGAAAUUUGAAGAUCUGACAGAGAGGGGGGCGCAAGGUUAUGGAUGGCUUUGAAUGUAUAGAGAAGUCAUUUGAAGUUAAUUCUAAAUUUGACAGGAAGCCAGUGGAGCUGUUGGAGAAUGGGGGUGAAACUGGAACAUAAAAGUCAAAAACAUGCGCCGAAUGCUGACUAACAACAUGGAACAACACAUUUAUGGUAUGACAAAACAAACAUUUCAAAAUGAAUAAAAGAAUGAAAGGUUUUUGCGCCACAUCCUUGCAUCAAAUGUUCUCCAGUGAAAAUCAUUUAGGUAUAAUUGAUAACAUUGUCAAUGGUUUGCGACAAUCUCAUAAUAGCUCUGGUGGCACCCACCACACUUCCUCUUUAUGGUCCUUUCACAGAAUGCGCUGUAUACAUUUAUAAAGUGAAUGCUUCAUUUCCAUAAAAUGCAUCGAGCAGACAGACUCCCGGGGGAGUGGCAUGAUGAGAUUGCAAUUGAAAGCAUGCAUAAAUAUGAGACGGAAGGAGAGCGAGAGAUAUAUGAAUGCUUUAACCCACCUUCUCCCCCCUUUGCUGCAGCCGCCCUCCCUCAGCAGGUUAUUAUACUCUGACACAUGUAUAUGCGGCACAUAGUGUAUGUAUAAAAAUAAAGUAGGGCUUGUCAGUUUAAUAGCUGGCCAUAUGCAUGUCUAGGCUUUUAGCGUGUAGGCUUUAAAUCCUUAUCGAGCAUUUUAUUUAAUUUCCGUAAACAGCAAUUGGUUCAGGAGGCCAUUAAAAGAAAUAAAAUGCCGUAUUCCUUUUCAUCUACUGACAUUCUAGGAUGCUUUGCAUCCACACAAAACAUGAUCAUCACUUCAGCUUUUCUAGUGUUAGCAUGAAGCUGCUCGUACUCAACUCAACUCUCAACUCGACUUUGUUUAGAAAGCUAUUUUUUACAACUGCAACAAAGUACGAUUAAAAAUAUUGCUACGAGUACUAGUACUACUACUACAACCUAUCAUCAUCAUUAUAAUAAUACAACCAUAAAUUACCAAGCAAAAACUGUCUUUAUGGGGCAAUUUUACACUGUAAAACAAAAGUGUGAAAUGUGAGUGUGAACCAAUUUAUGAAACCUGCCUCACGCAAUGAACUUGGAAAUUACGUCGUAGACCUCCAUAAUUGACAUGCAAUUGCUUCGAGAUGCUAUCGCUGAGCCAAAACGAUGAAUGAAUGAAUUUUGGUUGGGGCUAGUACGGACUCAUAAAUGACAGCGAACCAUGCAUGUAAACAAUCGUUUCGGAGGGAUUUGGAGCAGUAUCAUGAUAACAUCAGAGCUAUAUGAUUAGAUGUCAAGUGAUGCUGCGUUUGGGACUUGGAUAAUUGAAGGGACCCCACUUGGAGCACAAGGCUUUCCAAUCAGACAUAAACAAAACACAUGGCGGACAACUGCAAUAAGACAUCAGUUGAUGGUUUCUUUCUUUAUUUUUUGAAUAAUGAAUGAAUAAUUUCAUUAUUUUUAUUUGAGAACAUUUUAAAAAUAGAUUUCGACAUACUGCAUAACCUCGUAGAAAGUUUAUGUUAUAGCAAUGUUAUAGCAAUAUAGUUUUACACCAAUUUCAAUGCAAAACCCACUUUGCGGGCACAGUGUAAAUCUUGCUUAAAGCACGAUCUAAUGGCGCGCAUGGGUGGAGUAUUCUUCCUGAUGUGAUUUUUGCAGACAAGCACAGUUGAAUGGCCGUUUGCGCCGUUGCGGGCGUGAACACAGCCGACUAGCUUCCGGAACAAUGGAAAACACUCAUCUCAUUCUGUUUAAAAUUACGGCAUCAGAGGUGCACAGUCUUUGAUAUUGGGGAAGCAAAAAUAGAGUAGCGGGAAUCCAAGCAGAAGAUUGAAGCCUGCCAAGUACCGUUUAUAAAGAAUUGCAAGGAUUUUGUGAAGUUGUCAUCCAAGUGUUUAGUAAAUUAACAACUCCAUUUGAAGUCCAUAAAUAGAAUUAUUUUCAUAUUAAUUUAUGGGUAUCAUCAGGUAAGCCUAACCUGUAAAUUCAAAACACUGAUUUAUAAUAAAUGUAAAACGAUUUAUUGUAAUACAGAUUAUUGCUUGUGUUUGUUUCAAAAAAAUAUAUGGGAAAAAAAAUCCUGCCGCAUUUAGAUCAUUUUUCAAAAUCAUUCAUUCCUAAUAUAUUGAUCUGCAGUUGACUGGCGACCGUUCUGGGGUGUACCUAACCUCUUGUCCAAGAAGGGUCUAGCCUAGCCGAGACCCUAGUGAGGAUCAGCAUUUUGAAACAGAUGGUUGGAAUAUAUAUCGAUAUGAUAUUAUACGAACGAGUAUGACUGGAGUUUGAACCUGAAGUUACCUUAUCAUGAGACAAAAGAAUUAAAAUAAUUCGUUCAUAAUCGAAAUGGGAAUAUUUGGGUCAAUAUUCUUUGCAUUCUUGGCAGAACGACAGUUACAGAAGAUGGUUGCUCGUUGUCAUUGUUUAUAUUUCGAUCUGCCUGCAGAAAUUGCAAUUGUGAGAACAUUGUGGGUUUCAGCCGACCUGCAGCAGUGAAAUCUCUGCUAAGCCUUUGAUUCUUCCAAUCCCCCCGAGGUAGCGCUUCGGCUUGAAAUCACAUCUGCGGGCUCUCAGCAUUAACAUGUUGGCACUCCCAUGUUGUCUUGCUUAACUGGGAUGGAGCUUUAGCAGUGUUGGUUAUGUAAUAGCGCAAAAUAAAAUCCGUCGACAAAACCACCAUGAGACAAACUCAUUUUUAUGUCUGACUAGAUUGAAGAAAUUCAUAUGCAUUCCCUGGUUUUGUGUGUAGCUUUAUGAGAUCUUGUUAUGCAGGGUUUUGCCUCCCACACUCUCGACAGGAGGCGGUGAUAGGUGAUUUGUUCAAAAAUGUCCAACUGUGUUGCAUGUUUUUGUCUUCGAAACACGCUCGACGGUGUCAUGGCUGCAUGCGAGUCAUGAAAAAAAACAACACGUUUUGAAAUGUGGGCGGAACAGCAGGCAUCACUUGGAUCACUUGAAUCUUACUCACUGGAUAAAAUUGGGGAGAAAACAGUGGGAUUAUGUUGUUUUAUUCUUUGGAUUAUUUGGGCAUUCAUCUGAAUGGAUGAGGACAUGUGUGAACUGGAUUUUUUGAGUCAUGAGUCAUGGAGGUGUCAGCUCUGAAAAGUGAAGUCUCAGCCCCCUUGGGCAUGAAGCUCGCUACCAUGGUGCAAGCAUUCAUCAGGCUAUUCUCUUGUCUCGCACAAUCUUGUGGGAAUUCAUCCCUUAUUACUCUUGCACCACGGGAAGGAUUUGUCAGGCCUGAUGAGAGCUGCUCUGUGGAAAAAUGAUAACAUCCAAACGAUGAGACGUCAUCGAAUGAUUGUUCUUUACACGCGGAACGGAAGAGUUACCUUAGUAAUGCCAUUGAACAUUUAGUUACACUUCAAAAUAGCUAUGAUACAAAAUAUUGCGAUAUAUGUCACUACAAACUAUGUGUACUUGUUGUUUUUAACAAUUUUUUUUUCCAAAUCAAUUUCUCUUUCCAGUAACCUCCGUAGAUCAAAGCUCAUGUGCACUGCAAAGACAAGUGGUUCUUAACCUUCUUAGGGGUACCGAACACAACCAGUUAAUACAGUAUACAGAUUCACCGAACCCUGCAUUAGUGAAAUAAAUAAAUAUAUACAGGUGUGUGUGUGUGUGUGGGUGUAUAUAUAUAUUUUUUUCUUUUUUUUAUUUUACAAAUUCUAGAAAUGUAAAAAAAACAUUUAUUACAGACAGAAAAAAGUAAAUACAAUUUCAAGAGAUAAGUAUACUUU